rnacentral:rRNA from 1 species
UACGGAGGGUGCAAACGUUGCUCGGAAUCAUUGGGCGUAAAGCGCACGUAGGCGGUUCGUUAAGUCGGAUGUGAAAGCCCUCGGCUCAACCGAGGAAGGGCAUCCGAAACUGGCGUGCUUGAGUACGGAAGAGGGUCUCGGAAUUCCCGGUGUAGAGGUGAAAUUCGUAGAUAUCGGGAGGAACACCAGUGGCGACGGCGGAGACCUGGGCCGAUACUGACGCUGAGGUGCGAAAGCGUGGGGAGCAAACAGG